rnacentral:lncRNA from 1 species
CAACAUCACGUAAACUUCAUCAAAUAGAUAUGCUAAAAUCAAUACUCUAAUUAAAUAAAUCCUAAUGUCCUUGAAUUAGAACCAUCUAGUUUUCUUAUCAAUUUACACUAUCAACUCAUUCUCAACAUACCCCUUCUAUAGGCACACAUAUACAUACAAUCAUGCAUUCUUAUAGAUGUAUUCCACAUUCAACACGUAUUAAAUAAAAAUAGCACACUUUCAUCAUCUAACUUCAACUUAUUAAUCCUAUAUAACUUAUCUUCUUACAUACUUAAAUUGUAUAUAAAUAUUAUUUAUUCCAUAUAAGGAUUUUUGUUUAAACCAUCCCGUUAGCAUCAGUAACUAAAUCACAUCUCUAAAGAACAAGGAUACAA